rnacentral:lncRNA from 1 species
CAGAGUGCCCCUCCGGCCUCGCCAUGAGGCUCUUCCUGUCGCUCCCGGUCCUGGUGGUGGUUCUGUCGAUCGUCUUGGAAGGCCCAGCCCCAGCCCAGGGGACCCCAGACGUCUCCAGUGCCUUGGAUAAGCUGAAGGAGUUUGGAAACACACUGGAGGACAAGGCUCGGGAACUCAUCAGCCGCAUCAAACAGAGUGAACUUUCUGCCAAGAUGCGGGAGUGGUUUUCAGAGACAUUUCAGAAAGUGAAGGAGAAACUCAAGAUUGACUCAUGAGGACCUGAAGGGUGACAUCCCAGGAGGGGCCUCUGAAAUUUCCCACACCCCAGCGCCUGUGCUGAGGACUCCCUCCAUGUGGCCCCAGGUGCCACCAAUAAAAAUCCUACAG